rnacentral:rRNA from 1 species
UACGUAGGGUGCGAGCGUUAAUCGGAAUUACUGGGCGUAAAGCGUGCGCAGGCGGUUUGUUAAGUCCGCUGUGAAAGCCCCGGGCUCAACCUGGGAAUGGCGGUGGAAACUGGCGAGCUAGAGUGUGGUAGAGGGGGGUGGAAUUCCACGUGUAGCAGUGAAAUGCGUAGAGAUGUGGAGGAACACCGAUGGCGAAGGCAGCCCCCUGGGCUAACACUGACGCUCAGGCACGAAAGCGUGGGGAGCAAACAGG